rnacentral:rRNA from 1 species
CAGUGGGUGAAAGAUCCGUCGGUCCGGGAUGGGCAUGCGGCGCAUUAGCUUGUUGGCGGGGCAACGGCCCACCAAGGCGACGAUGCGUAGGGGUUCUGAGAGGAAGGUCCCCCACACUGGUACUGAGACACGGACCAGACUCCUACGGGAGGCAGCAGUGAGGAAUAUUGGUCAAUGGACGGUAGUCUGAACCAGCCAAGUCGCGUGCGGGAUGAAGGCCCUCCGGGUCGUAAACCGCUUUAGCCGGGGAGUAACGUGGGGGACGUGUCCCCCAGUGAGAGUACCCGGAGAAUAAGCAUCGGCUAACUCCGUGCCAGCAGCCGCGGUAAUACGGAGGAUGCGAGCGUUAUCCGGAUUUAUUGGGUUUAAAGGGUGCGCAGGCGGCAGGUCAAGUCAGCGGUAAAAUCUCGGCGCUCAACGCCGUUCGGCCGUUGAAACUGUCCGGCUCGAGUGCGUGGGAGGAUGGCGGAAUGCGCGGUGUAGCGGUGAAAUGCAUAGAUAUCGCGCAGAACCCCGAUUGCGAAGGCAGCUGUCCACCACGCCACUGACGCUCAUGCACGAAAGCGUGGGUAUCGAACAG